ACGGAAGGCAGCAGUGGGGAAUAUUGCACAAUGGGGGAAACCCUGAUGCAGCGACGCCGCGUGAGUGAUGAAGUAUUUCGGUAUGUAAAGCUCUAUCAGCAGGGAAGAUAAUGACGGUACCUGACUAAGAAGCACCGGCUAAAUACGUGCCAGCAGCCGCGGUAAUACGUAUGGUGCAAGCGUUAUCCGGAUUUACUGGGUGUAAAGGGUGCGUAGGUGGCAUGGCAAGUCUGAAGUGAAAGCUCGGGGCUCAACCCCGGAACUGCUUUGGAAACUGUCAAGCUAGAGUGCAGGAGAGGAAAGCGGUAUUCCUAGUGUAGCGGUGAAAUGCGUAGAUAUUAGGAGGAACACCAGUGGCGAAGGCGGAUUGCUGGACGACAACUGACGGUGAGGCGCGAAAGCGUGGGGAGCAAACAGGAUUAGAUACCCUGGUA
rnacentral:rRNA from 1 species